GAGGGGAUGGUUCAAUGGCAGAGUGCAUGCUUAGCAUGUACAAGCUCCUGGGUUCAAUCCCCAGUACCUCCA
rnacentral:tRNA from 1 species